rnacentral:lncRNA from 1 species
UAGGCGGCGGCCGCCGAGAGCCGGCUGCGGGGUCACGGCCGCCGCGCUCUGCCUUGGGCUGGCCCUGCUGCAGGAGGCCUAGUUGCGUCACCGCCCCUUCCUUCAUCUGCUUGGCGUGAUUCUUGGGCCCCACUAGAGGGGAGAAAAUGCUGACAUCGUGUUGAUGAGGAUUCCAAUCUGCAUGAUAAAUACAGUUCUCACUGUAAAUGUCUGUAAACUCGAGUACUGCGGGUCCAUCCCGGAAAGGCAGAGCCUCUCUCCCCAGGAGCAUCUGAACCUGCGGAAGCCAAGGGUCAGGCCCCAAGGAGAAGCCACCUGGAAAUUCCACCCCGUGAGAUGUUACAUUCCCCUCAAACCUUUCUGAAGUAUGAUAGGUUGUAUAUUAAGGUUUUUUCCAUAGUUUGAGUCUUUUUCCUUAGAGUAGUUAUUUUUAAAACAUUUCCUUGAGCACUGACAGUGUGCCAGGCACUGUUCUAAGCCCUUUAGAAGUAACAGUGCAUUCUUUGACUGGAGUUCUGGGACCUAGGGUUGUGAACUUAAAUUUUUUUUUUUUUUUAAGAUUGGCACCCGAGGUAACAACUGUUGCCAAUCUUCUUUUUUAUUUUCUGCUUUUUCUCCCCAAAUCCCCCCAGUACAUAGUUGUAUGUUUUAGUUGUGGGUCCUUCUAGUUGUGGCAUGUGGCAUGUCACCUCAACAUGGCACGAUGAGCGGUGCCAUGUCCGCGCCCAGGAUCUGAACUGGCAAAACCCUGGGCCACCAAAGCAGAGCACGCG